AUCGGAUUCAAUUUUCACUUUCUCUUCCUUGAGAAGUUCCAGCCGUUUAGAUGUUUCUUGAAGAUCUCUUUGAAGUGUCUCUAAUUGGACUCGGUUUGAUGGUCCACUUGCUCUUUGCUCACUCAAGGAGUCAUUCCCUCCGGUUUUAGAGAGGUCCUCGGCUAAAGUUGCAUUUCUACCAAGAAGGUCCUGUAUCUCGGUGCAUUGCUUCUCUACAAAUGCUUUUAGCCGCUUGAUGUACUCACCAUCAGUUUCCCCUUUCCUCUGCUCUAGUUCUGCUGGCACCACAG
rnacentral:misc_RNA from 1 species